rnacentral:misc_RNA from 1 species
GUGAGUCAUCGAAUCUUUGAACGCACAUUGCGCCCUUUGGUAUUCCGAGGGGCACGCCUGUUCGAGCGUCAUUUAAACCAUCAAGCACCGCUUGGUCUUGGGUGCGGUCGAGCGACCCAUCCGCAACUGGUUGGCGGUACCGUCCGGCUUCAAGCGUAGCAGAAUUACCUCGCUUCAGGAGCUCGCGGCGGUGCCCGCCAGGCAACCACUACCUAAGUUUGACCUCGGAUCAGGUGGGGAUACCCGCUGAACUUAAGCAUAUCAAUAAGCGGAGGA